rnacentral:rRNA from 1 species
GAUGAACGCUAGCUACAGGCUUAACACAUGCAAGUCGAGGGACCGGCGCCCGGGUGAGUAACACGUAUCCACCCUGCCCUUUACUCGGGGAUAGCCUUUCGAAAGAAAGAUUAAUACCCGAUAUAAAGGAUGGGGAUGCGUUCCAUUAGGUUGUUGGUGAGGUAACGGCUCACCAAGCCUUCGAUGGAUAUGGGUUCGGAGAGGGAGGUCCCCCAGAUUGGAACUGAGGCACGGUCCAAACUCCUACGGGAGGCAGAAGUGAGGAAUAGUGGUAAAUGGGAGCGAGCCUGAAACAGCCAAGUAGCGUGAAGGAUGAAGGCUUAUGGGUCGUAAACUUCUUUUAUAGAAGAAUAUGUAUUAUAUGAAUAAGGAUCGGCUAACUCCGUGCCAGCCGCCGCGGUAAUAC